rnacentral:rRNA from 1 species
GACGAACGCUGGCGGCGUGCUUAACACAUGCAAGUCGAACGGAAAGGCCCUGCUUUUGUGGGGUGCUCGAGUGGCGAACGGGUGAGUAACACGUGAGUAACCUGCCCUUGACUUUGGGAUAACUUCAGGAAACUGGGGCUAAUACCGGAUAGGAGCUCCUGCUGCAUGGUGGGGGUUGGAAAGUUUCGGCGGUUGGGGAUGGACUCGCGGCUUAUCAGCUUGUUGGUGGGGUAGUGGCUUACCAAGGCUUUGACGGGUAGCCGGCAUGAGAGGGUGACCGGCCACAUUGGGACUGAGAUACGGCGCAGACUCCUACGGGAGGCAGCAGUGGGGAAUAUUGCACAAUGGGCGGAAGCCUGAUGCAGCAACGCCGCGUGCGGGAUGACGGCCUUCGGGUUGUAAACCGCUUUCGCCUGUGACGAAGCGUGAGUGACGGUAAUGGGUAAAGAAGCACCGGCUAACUACGUG